GACGAACCACACAAACGUUAUUCGGAAUUACUGGGCUUAAAGGGUGCGUAGGCGGCGCGGAAAGUAGGGUGUGAAAUCCCUCGGCUCAACCGAGGAAUUGCGCCCUAAACUACCGUGCUCGAGGGAGAUAGAUGGUGAGCGGAACUUAGGGUGGAGCGGUGAAAUGCGUUGAUAUCCUAAGGAACACCGGUGGCGAAAGCGGCUCACUGGAUCUCUUCUGACGCUGAGGCACGAAAGCUAGGGUAGCGAACGGG
rnacentral:rRNA from 1 species